rnacentral:rRNA from 1 species
UACGUAGGGUGCAAGCGUUAAUCGGAAUUACUGGGCGUAAAGCGUGCGCAGGCGGUUUUGUAAGUCUGUUGUGAAAUCCCCGGGCUCAACCUGGGAAUGGCAAUGGAGACUGCAAGGCUAGAGUUUGGCAGAGGGGGGUAGAAUUCCACGUGUAGCAGUGAAAUGCGUAGAUAUGUGGAGGAAUACCGAUGGCGAAGGCAGCCCCCUGGGAUAACACUGACGCUCAUGCACGAAAGCGUGGGGAGCAAACAGG